UGUUUCAUCAGGGGCUUGGAUGGCCCGUGAGAGGGGAAUUCUUGGGGGUGGCCAGACAAACUACAGCGAAAGCAUUUCACCCCUUUCUUCAUUAAUCAAGAACGAAAGUCAGAGGUUGAAAGAAGGGGGAAAAUACCGCCCUAGUUCUGACCGUAAACGAUGCCAACUAGCGAUCCGCUGAUGGAAAUUAUAUUGCCUUGCUCUGAAGAUUCCCGGAAACGAAAGUCUUCCGGUUCCGGGUAAGGAUGGUUUCUACCGAAACUUAAAAGAAUUGUCUGUUUUUUUGUGUGUGAGUGGAGUUGUUUUUAAUUUGCCUCUACCUGCAUCCCUGCCGGACGAGGGAGUAUUGAAGAUUGAAAUUUUUCUAAUCCGGUGCGUCCU
rnacentral:rRNA from 1 species